rnacentral:rRNA from 1 species
AUGAAGCCGCCUUUGGAAAGGAACCCAUCCAGGAAGCGCCAUUCAUGGUGGUGGGAUAGUCACAUUAGCCCCAAGAACUCAAAAUGGCUUGCAGAAAACCUCGAAGAAAUGGAUAAGCAAGUGAAGGAAAUGGUGCAGCUUAUUGAGGAAGAUGGCGACUCCUUUGCAAAGAAAGCUCAAAUGUAUUAUCAGAGGCGCCCAGUCCUCGUUACCCAUGUCGAGAACUUCUACCGGAUGUACCGCGCUUUAGCUGAGCGCUACGACAAUGUUACCGGUGAACUGCGCAAGAACAUCCCUUCAAGGAUGCAGUCCCAAGGAUCUUUAUCCGGUUCUGAGUUCGGUUCAGAGCUGCAAAGGUCGCCCACACCAUCUCCUGAGCCCCAGAAGUCCUGGACAAGGGAGCAGAGCCCUAGAGCCGCCGGUUUCAAUUUCUUUCUGAGUAACAAGAGCAAUGACUCACCGUCCUCAAGGAAGGAGCCUGGGUCAGCUUCACAGUCAGAAUCUGACAUGAAGUCUGAAGAUGGUGAGGAUGAUGGCAUUACCUACACAUUGCACCAGAGAGUUCUCGAGCUCGAGGAUGAUCUCAAUGCGGCAAACCGGAAGCUGCUUGACGCAAACGAAAAGCUCGAGGUUUUCGAGGAGAGGAUCCUGAGGUGCCAUUGCGAUUAUAAGGAAAAUGGAAAUGGCGCCGAUCAUGCUACCAAAAUUAGAGACAUUGAUGGAGAGUUCGUGUCAACUAAGGAGAAGCUACAAUCUUCACAAGUGGAGAUCAACAAUCUUGAAAGGAGGCUCGAAGACGCUGCAAUUUUGUCAGAAGAGCACUCCAGGCUGCUGGAACAAAACAAGGGACUGGAAGCUGAAAUUGUGAGUCUGAAGGAAGAGAUGACUUCAGCUAGACGGCGUUUCAACGACAAAAUAUCCGAGAGUGAUGCCGAGAUCAGCCAGUACAGGCAAGAGCUUGCCACCGCGUCCGAGAAGCUGUUGCAGGAGAAGUCCACCAACAGCACAGAGGUAGGAAAGCUGCAAGAAAUGAACCGGAUCACCAGUCUCAAGCUGGAGAAAGUUUCUGAAGAGAAGUCUCUAGUGGAGGACCAGGUGAAGGAGCUGGAGGAGGCGAACGCCGAAGCCGAAAGGCAGAGGCAGGAGCUCGUCCAUGCCGCCGAAAUGCUGUCGGAGGACAAGUUCAGACAUGAAGCUGAGAUCCUGACGAUGCAGCAGAGCAUCGAGGACCUGAAGCCGAAACUUGAGAGCAUCGCAAGAGAGAAAUCGCUGCUGAAACUCUGGUUCGCGGAUCUGGAGCGCGUCGUGGAGCGAGGAAGGAGCGUUGUCAUUCCCCCGGAAUAA